UAGAAAAAAAGCAGGGAUCAUUUCUAUAGUUUGUUACUAGAGAAGUUUCUCUGAAUGUAGAGUGCCUGAAACCAUGGGGGGGGGGGGUGCAGUGUUCUCUCCUGAGCGUGAGGUUGGCUGUAGGUGUUGUUCCUCCCACCGUCUAUUGCCAUUGAUGAUUGUUCUUGUCCUCUGUGGGAAUAAGAGGGAGAGGAUGCAGUUUGGGUGGA
rnacentral:snoRNA from 1 species